ensembl:lncRNA
GCUGGAACGUGCAUAGUGGGAAACCAUGGGCCUGUGUGCAUCUGUCGAUCAGGAUGGACGGGCAGCCGUUGCCAUGUACAACAAAAGCCAGCCCCGCCCACUCCUUCUGAUGUGAUUUCUGUGAUUCCGGACACUGAACUAGUGGCAGUGUAUGCUGGUGUGGGUAUAGCAGUGAUUCUACUGGCUAUUGCAGUUGCCAUCACAAUACUUUUCUUCCUACAAAGAAGAUACACAGCUAAGUAAGUUUACAUACAUUGGAAGCAUUAUAUUGUUAUGUUAUUCAUAAAAAUAAUAAUAAUA